rnacentral:lncRNA from 1 species
GCAACACCCCAAAAUGAAACCUGGUGCUCAUACAGUCUCCCAUUCUCUUUCCCUCCAGCCCUAAGUAACCACCAAUCUAAGAUUUGCAUUCUCUGGGCAUUUCAUACAAAUGCCAUCUUAUAGCAUGUGUGCUUUUUGGGUCUAGUUUCUUUCAUGAGCAUAUUUUUGAGGUUUGUCCAGGUUGUAGCAUAUAUCAGGACUUCAUUUUAUUUUUCAAUUGAAGUGAAAUCCACACAAUAUUAAAUACAUUCACAAUGUUGGGCAAUCUUUAUUGCCAUCCAUUACCAGGACUAUCUUUAACUUAUAAAAUGGAGACAUUAUCAAUUAAAUAACUUCCCAUCUCCCUUUCUCCCAGCCCCUGGCAACCACCAGUUCUACUUUAUGUUUCUAUUGUCAAGUAGUGUCCCAUUGUAAGUCUAUAAAGCUUUUUUUUUUUUAAUAUCACCAACUGAUGAACAAUUGGACUGUGUCUUCUUUGAC